rnacentral:misc_RNA from 1 species
GCUGGAUCCCCUCCUUUCUAAGGAUGCUGGCGUUAGCCUUUUCACGGAGGCAAUUCCGGCACCGAAGACAAUCUGCCGGCGUCCUCUCGUUUUCGGACGAGGGGCCCGCCGUCUCCGUAUCCCUUUCCAUUUCCUCGCCAGCGCGGGAGCAGACAAAUCGUCCGGUCUUGCGUUUGGCCGGAGCGCAUGUGGCUGGCUUGUCGGCUCGUCGCGGCGAUGGUAUCUGCUGCGUCUCUUUUGGACUGUGGCGCCGACCCCAUUCGGACGGUGCCUACGGGCGGGCCUGUAGCUCAGCUGGUUAGAGCGCACCCCUGAUAAGGGUGAGGUCGGUAGUUCAAAUCUACCCAGGCCCACCAUCCUCCGCCCCCACGCUUAUGGGGGCGCGGGCUUCGGAUGGGGCUGUAGCUCAGCUGGGAGAGCACCUGCUUUGCAAGCAGGGGGUCGUCGGUUCGAACCCGUCCAGCUCCACCAUUUUUCAAUCGUUGCCUUGGGCGAGGAAACAUUUAGAGCGCGUAUUCGUUAGAGGAUUUGUCCUCACUACGAUCGGCCGGUUUCGGCACCCUUUGCCUGCCGGCGGCUCUAUGGACAUCGUGAAUCAGGUCGUGCACUGACCGAAUAUGGCGUCGUUUGGAGGUUCCCUUCUCGAAGGGGAUGCCAAGCGAGGUCAUGGGUCGAUUUUGCGUCGAGUGGAACCAUUGCAUCGGUUUCCGCGGACGGGCUCCCCAAGAGCCCGCUGGCGGCGACCGGGGAUGCGUGAACGCGUUUUCCCCUGUAUGCGACGGUUUUUUCGAUCAAGUGUGAGAAGGGCAUCUGGUGAAUGCCUUGGCAUCGAGAGGCGAUGAAGGACGUGGCACUCUGCGAAAAGCCGCGGGGAGAUGA